rnacentral:rRNA from 1 species
CAAUAGCGUAUAUUAAAGUUGUUGCAGUUAAAAAGCUCGUAGUUGGAUUUGUGGCGUACGGUGGGUUCCGGGCACUUGUUGUCUGAGUAACUUGCUGUUGCCAUCCUUGGGUGGAACCUGUGUGGCAUUAGGUUGUCGUGCAGGGGAUGCCCAUCAUUUACUGUGAAAAAAUUAGAGUGUUCAAAGCAGGCUUAUGCCGUUGAAUAUAUUAGCAUGGAAUAAUGAGAUAGGACUUUUUUGCUAUUUUGUUGGUUUGCGCAAAGAGGUAAUGAUUAAUAGGGACAGUUGGGGGUACUCGUAUUCCAUUGUCAGAGGUGAAAUUCUUGGAUUUUUGGAAGACGAACUACUGCGAAAGCAUUUACCAAGGAUGUUUUCAUUAA